GAUGAACGCUGGCGGCGUGCCUAAUACAUGCAAGUCGAGCGAACAGACGAGGAGCUUGCUCCUCUGACGUUAGCGGCGGACGGGUGAGUAACACGUGGAUAACCUACCUAUAAGACUGGGAUAACUUCGGGACACCGGAGCUAAUACCGGAUAAUAUAUUGAACCGCAUGGUUCAAUAGUGAAAGACGGUUUUGCUGUCACUUAUAGAUGGAUCCGCGCCGCAUUAGCUAGUUGGUAAGGUAACGGCUUACCAAGGCAACGAUGCGUAGCCGACCUGAGAGGGGGGUCGGCCACAUUGGAGCUGGGACACGGUCCAGACUCCUACGGGAGGCAGCAGUAGGGAAUCGUCCGCAAUGGGCGAAAGCCUGACGGAGCAACGGCGCGUCAGUGAUGAAGGUCUUCGGAUCGUAAAACUGUGUUAUUAGGGAAGAACAAAUGUGUAAGUAACUAUGCACGGCUUGACGGUACUUAAUCAGAAAGCCACGGCUAACUACGUG
rnacentral:rRNA from 1 species